ensembl:ncRNA C25F6.21 ncRNA
UAAUAAACCCAACGCAAUCCGACAAAGUAUCAACCCGGUCGUCGCUUUGUCUCUGUGGUUAGGAAAAACCGUCAGAGACAACGAGGUGGUGGCUGCCGACAGAAGGACCCAAUUGAAAACAAUGGGCAAUUAUACUAUUAACUAUGUACA